rnacentral:sRNA from 1 species
GCCGGGUGCUAUGGUGCAUGCCUGUAAUCCCAGUGGCUCAGGAGGCUGAGGCAGGAGGAUCUCAAGUUCAAAGCCAGCCUCAGCAACUUAGCAAGGCCCUGAGCAACUCAGAGAGACCCUGUCUCUA